UUGUAGCCUGCUAUGGUAUAACUUAGUGGCAGACGGGUGAGUAAUGUAUAGGAAUCUACCUAGUAGUACGGAAUAAUUGUUGGAAACGACAACUAAUACCGUAUACGCCCUACGGGGGAAAAAUUUAUUGCUAUUAGAUGAGCCUAUAUUAGAUUAGCUAGUUGGUGGAGUAAUAGCCUACCAAGGCAAUGAUCUAUAGCUGAUCUGAGAGGAUGAUCAGCCACACUGGAACUGAGAUACGGUCCAGACUCCUACGGGAGGCAGCAGUGGGGAAUAUUGGACAAUGGGCGAAAGCCUGAUCCAGCCAUGCCGCAUGAGUGAAGAAGGCCUUUGGGUUGUAAAGCUCUUUUAGUGAGGAAGAUAAUGACGGUACUCACAGAAGAAGUCCUGGCUAACUCCGUGCCAGCAGCCGCGGUAAUACGGAGAGGGCUAGCGUUAUUCGGAAUUAUUGGGCGUAAAGGGCGCGUAGGCUGGUUAAUAAGUUAAAAGUGAAAUCCCGAGGCUUAACCUUGGAAUUGCUUUUAAAACUAUUAAUCUAGAGAUUGAAAGAGGAUAGAGGAAUUCCUGAUGUAGAGGUAAAAUUCGUAAAUAUUAGGAGGAACACCAGUGGCGAAGGCGUCUAUCUGGUUUAAAUCUGACGCUGAAGCGCGAAGGCGUGGGGAGCAAACAGGAUUAGAUACCCUGGUAGUCCACGCUGUAAACGAUGAAUGUUAAAUAUGGGAAGUUUACUUUCUGUAUUACAGCUAACGCGUUAAACAUUCCGCCUGGGGACUACGGUCGCAAGAUUAAAACUCAAAGGAAUUGACGGGGACCCGCACAAGCGGUGGAGCAUGUGGUUUAAUUCGAUGCAACGCGAAAAACCUUACCACUUCUUGACAUGAAAAUCAUACCUAUUC
rnacentral:rRNA from 1 species